rnacentral:rRNA from 1 species
GGGCCCGCACAAGCAGUGGAGCAUGUGGUUUAAUUCGAUGCAACGCGAAAAACCUUACCUACCCUUGACAUGUACGGAACUUGCCAGAGAUGGCUUGGUGCUCGAAAGAGAGCCGUAACACAGGUGCUGCAUGGCUGUCGUCAGCUCGUGUCGUGAGAUGUUGGGUUAAGUCCCGCAACGAGCGCAACCCUUGUCAUUAGUUGCUACAUUUAGUUGGGCACUCUAAUGAGACUGCCGGUGACAAACCGGAGGAAGGUGGGGAUGACGUCAAGUCCUCAUGGCCCUUAUGGGUAGGGCUACACACGUCAUACAAUGGCUGGUACAAAGGGUUGCCAACCCGCGAGGGGGAGCUAAUCCCAUAAAGCCAGUCGUAGUCCGGAUCGUAGUCUGCAACUCGACUGCGUGAAGUCGGAAUCGCUAG